CCCUUAGAUGUUCUGGGCCGCACGCGCGCUACACUGAUGCAUUCAACGAGUCUAAAACCUGCUCUGAUAGGGGUGGGUAAUCUUUUGAAUGUGCAUCGUGAUUGGGAUAGAUGAUUGCAAUUUUUGAUCUUAAACGAGGAAUGCCUAGUAAGCGCAAGUCAUCAACUUGCGUUGAUUACGUCCCUGCCCUUUGUACACACCGCCCGUCGCUACUACCGAUUGAAUGGUUUAGUGAGGCCUUCGGAUCCGCGACUCGUUUUGUGGAGAAGUUGGACAAACUCAGUCAUUUAGAGGAAGUAAAAGUCGUAACA
rnacentral:rRNA from 1 species